rnacentral:lncRNA from 1 species
UCCGGUGCCAGGCGAGUCUUGCCCGGGCAGAGAUGGCUCGGAAACGCGCGGCUGGCCAGGGCCCCCGCGGACAGACGGCCAAGGGCGAAACCAAAGCCCGGCGCAAGGAGGAGGAGGCGGAUGUCGUCAAAGAUGAGAAACCACGAAAGAAGAGCCCUCCCACAAAAGUUGCCCGAGGAAAGAGGAAGAGAGGCUGCGGUGAUGCUGGGAGCGCAGCAGACGGUCCAGUGACAAGGAAGGCGGCCAAGGUUUCAGUGAAAUCUGAAGAGCCCCAGGCUGUAAAGGAUGAAGCCCUCAGCGAAGGGGAAGAUUUCAGGGGCUUGCUGAGCGCCCGCAGGAAGGGCCAGCCCCCGGAGCGAGAGGCCGCUGCGGACAAAGGCAGCUGCAAGGGGGACGAUGAGGAAGACAGCGAGGAGGACUGGGAAGAGGUGGAAGAAGUUAGUGAGCCCGUGCCGGGUGCCGUGGGGGAAAGCGCAGCCUUCUCUGCAUCUGCUCUGCCCGUGAAGCCAGUGGAGAUAGAGAUUGAGACACCGGAGCAGGUGAAGGCCAGAGAAAGAAGUGAAAAGAUCAAAAUGGAGUUUGAGACGUAUCUUCGGAGGAUGAUGAAACGUUUCAGUAAGGAGAUUCACGAGGACACGCACAAGGUUCACCUGCUGUGUCUGCUGGCAAACGGCUUCUACCGAAACAGCAUCUGCAACCAGCCAGACCUGCAAGCCAUUGGCCUCUCCAUCAUCCCAACGCGCUUCACCAAAGUGCCACCCCGAGACGUGGACGUCUCCUACCUGUCCAACCUGGUGAAAUGGUUCAUCGGGACGUUCACAGUGAAUGCGGAGCUCUCGACCAACGACCAGGACGGCCUGCAGACGACGCUGGAGCGGAGGUUCGCCAUUUACUCGGCAAGAGACAACGAGGAGCUGGUCCACAUAUUUUUACUGCUUCUCCGGGCCCUGCAUCUCCCUACCCGCCUCGUACUGUCUCUGCAGCCAAUUCCUCUGAAGUUAUCAGCAGCGAAGGGAAAGAAACCUUCCAAGAAAAGAUCCACAGAGGCGCCUGGGGGCUCCUCAGAAGCCUCCAGCCACGCUCCGGGAAAGCCCAGCGAAGGAAGCCGAGGAGACGACGCGUCUUCUGGGGGCGCUGGUGGGGCCCGUGCCAGAGGGAAGGGGGGCAAGGCGGCCGCAGGCAGGAGGCCACGGGGGGAGUCCCCGUCCAGCGGGGAGGACGCGGGCCAGGCUCGGGGGCAGAGACGGGGGACCCGGAGGCGAGCGCAGUCCCGGAGGCGGCGGGCGGCUGCCAGGGUGUCUUACAAGGAGGAGAGCGGGAGCGGCGCAGGCAGCAGCGGCUCUGACUUUGAGCCUUCCAGCGAGGACAGCUGCCGCCCGUCCGAUGAGGAUUCCGAGCCCGGCUUGCCCAGGCGGCGGAGCGCCCCCGCCCCUCAGAGAACGAAGGCGGGGUCCAAGAGCAGGUCCAAGUCCCAGCACGGAAGCCGCCAUCCGCCCCCUGGCUUCGCAGAAGCAUCGGCCAGCGCUGCGGGCAGUAAGCUGGAGAGGGGCAAGAAACCGUCGGGGGCCGGUGGGAAGGCAGGCAGCGGACAGGGCGCGCCCGGCGUGGACCAGUGGCUGGAGGUGUUCUCGGAGCGCGAGGAGAAGUGGGUGUGUGUGGACUGUGUGCACGGCGUGGUGGGCCAGCCCCUGACCUGCUACCAGUACGCCACCAAGCCCGUGACCUACGUCGUGGGCAUCGACGGCACCGGCUGCGUGCGCGACGUCACGCAGAGGUACGACCCCGCCUGGCUGACGGCGACUCGCAAGAGCCGCGUGGACGCUGCCUGGUGGGCAGAGACCCUGCGCCCCUACCGGAGCCCGCUGGUGGACAGGGAGCAGCGGGAGGACCAGGAGUUUCAGGCGAAGCACCUGGACCAGCCUCUGCCCACCGUCAUCGGCACGUAUAAGAACCACCCUCUCUACGCCCUUAAGAGGCACCUCCUCAAGUUCGAGGCCAUCUACCCUGAGACGGCCGCUAUCCUCGGGUACUGCCGCGGGGAGGCCGUCUACUCCAGGGACUGCGUUCACACCCUGCACUCCAGGGACACGUGGCUGAAACAAGCGCGUGUGGUGCGGCUUGGGGAAGUGCCAUACAAGAUGGUGAAAGGCUACUCCAACCGUGCCCGGAGAGCCCGCCAGGCCGAGCCACAGCUGCAUGACCACAACGACCUGGGCCUGUUUGGCAGAUGGCAGACCGAGGAGUACCAGCCGCCGGUGGCCGUGGACGGGAAGGUGCCCCGGAACGAGUUUGGGAACGUGUACCUCUUCCUGCCCAGCAUGAUGCCCGUUGGCUGCGUCCAGCUGAACCUGCCCAACCUGCACCGCGUGGCCCGCAAGCUGAACAUUGACUGCGCGCAGGCCGUCACCGGCUUCGACUUCCACAAAGGCUACUGCCAUCCCAUAACCGACGGCUACGUGGUCUGCGAGGAGUACAGAGACGUGCUCCUGACCGCCUGGGAGAACGAGCAGGCGCUCAUAGAGAAGAAGGAGAAGGAGAAGAGGGAGAAGCGGGCUCUGGGGAACUGGAAGCUGCUCGUCAAAGGGCUGCUGAUCCGGGAGCGGCUGAAGCUUCGCUACGGGGCCCAGAGUGAGGCGGCCGCUCCCCACACGGAUGCGGGAGGCGGGCUCUCAUCAGACGAGGAGGAGGGGACCAGCUCUCAAGCGGAAGCGGCCAGGAUCCUGGCGGCCUCCUGGCCCCAAAACCGAGAGGCCGAGAAGCCAAAGUGCCCCAGGAAGACCAGGAGGGAGAAGAAGGAAGCGGCUGCCCAGCUGUUCCCGUUUGAGAAGCUGUGACGCGGGCAGUCACCUCCUGGGUGGCUCGGCUCUGCCCCAGACCCUGCUCCCCGGCAGAGUCCCGCCCGCGUAUGCACUCAAGCCGCUGCAGACGGCUCAGGCCCGGCCUCGGGGCCCCUGUGGUUCCCAGGCAGCUCCCUGCCGCUGCGUGCAGGCAGAGCGGGUCAGCGCGGGCCCCCUCAGGCGAUUCUGCUGCCUGCUUUGCCAGGAACACUUCAGGGCAGCAGAGGACUAGAACAAAGAGCUACAGUGAGGAAAACAGCGAGACUGCACGUCACUAAGAGGC